rnacentral:rRNA from 1 species
UAGGGAAUAUUGGACAAUGGGUGAGAGCCUGAUCCAGCCAUGCCGCGUGCAGGAAGAAGGCGUUAUGCGUUGUAAACUGCUUUUUGCCAGGGGAUAAAAAGACCGUGCGCGGUUAAUUGAAGGUACCUGGUGAAUAAGCCACGGCUAACUACGUGCCAGCAGCCGCGGUAAUACGUAGGUGGCAAGCGUUGUCCGGAUUUAUUGGGUUUAAAGGGUGCGUAGGUGGCCCUGUAAGUCAGUGGUGAAAUAUCUCAGCUUAACUGAGAGGGUGCCAUUGAUACUGCAGGGCUUGAGUACAGAUGAGGUAGGCGGAAUUGACGGUGUAGCGGUGAAAUGCAUAGAUAUCGUCAAGAACACCGAUAGCGAAGGCAGCUUACCAAGCUGUAACUGACACUGAGGCACGAAAGUGUGGGGAGCAAACGGGAUUAGAUACCCCCGUAGUCCCUGAGCGGGCUGGCAAGGCGCAU